rnacentral:tRNA from 2 species
AAUUCUAGUUAAAUCAUAAUAUAGGACUGUCAGCCCUAAGUUACUAAUAUAGUGAAUUCUG